AGAGUUUGAUCCUGGCUCAGGAUAAACGCUGGCGGCGUGCCUUACCAAUGCGAGUCGUACGGGCGAUCUUCGGAUCGUCAGUGGCGGCCGGGUGCGUAACACGUGGGUGACCUACCCAGAUCUGGGGGAUACCCGCCCGAAAGGGUGGCUAAUACCGCAUGCCUUUACGGCUCUUGUGCCGUAAGGAAAGUUCUCCCGCAAGGGAGGGCGGAUGUGGAGGGGCCCGCGGCCUAUCAGCUUGUCGGUGGGGUAACGGCCUACCGAGGCGACGACGGGUAGCCGGUCUGAGAGGACGGACGGCCACAGUGGGACUGAGAAAUGGUCCACAGCCCUACGGGGUUUAGCAUGGAGGAAUCUUGCGCAACGGCCUAACGGUCGGCGCAGCAACGCCGCGUGGGGGAGGAAGGCUCUCGGGUCGUAAACCCCUGUUGUGUGGGAAGAAGUACCGUCGGGGAGAGCCCGGCGGGAAGACGGUACCACGCGAGGAAGCAUCGGCUAACUACGUGCCAGCAGCCGCGGUAAUACGUAGGAUGCAAGCGUUAUCCGGAUUUAUUGGGCGUAAAGCGCGCGCAGGCGGCGCUCAGCAGUGGCGCGUGGAAUCUCCCGGCUUACCUGGGAGGGGCCGCGCCAGACGGGGGCGCUUGAGGCAGGCAGAGGACCGUAGAACGGGCGGAGUAGGGGUGAAAUCCGUAGAGACCGUCCGGAAUACCAGUGGCGAAGGCGGCGGUCUGGGCCUGUCCUGACGCUCGGGCGCGAAAGCGUGGGGAGCGAACGGAAUUAGAUACUCCGGUAGUCCACGCCCUAAACGAUGGCCACUCGGUGUCGGGGGUAUCGACCCCCCCGGCGCCCCAGCUAACGCGGUAAGUGGCCCGCCUGGGGACUACGGCCGCAAGGCUAAAACUCAAAGGAAUUGACGGGGGCCCGCACAAGCAGCGGAGCGUGUGGUUUAAUUCGAUGCAACGCGAAGAACCUUACCUGGGCUUGACAUGCACGUGGUAGGGACCCGAAAGGGAACCGACCCGCAAGGGAGCGUGCACAGGUGCUGCAUGGCUGUCGUCAGCUCGUGCCGUGAGGUGUUGGGUUAAGUCUCGCAACGAGCGCAACCCCUGUCCCUAGUUGCACUAUCUAGGGAGACUGCCGGGCGAACCCCGGAGGAAGGUGGGGACGAGGUCAAGUCCGCAUGGCCCUUACGUCCAGGGCUACACACACGCUACAAUCGCCGGUACAGCGGGAUGCAAGCGCGCGAGCGCAAGCCAAUCCCCCAAAACCGGCGCCAGUACAGAUUGGAGGCUGCAACCCGCCUCCAUGAAGCCGGAGUUGCUAGUAACCGCGCGUCAGCAUAGUGCGGUGAAUGCGUUCCCGGGCCUUGUACACACCGCCCGUCACACCACGAAAGCCAGCAAGACUCGAAGGCGCUGGGCCAACCUCCCCCUCGGGGGAGGAGGUAGGCGACGAGAGUCGGGCUGGUGAUUGGGGUGAAGUCGUAACAAGGUAGCCGU
rnacentral:rRNA from 1 species